rnacentral:lncRNA from 1 species
CAUUUAGAUCAGGAUGUAGAACUCCCAGCUGCCUCUGCAGCACCAUGCCUGCCUGCACACUGCCAUGUUUCCCACCAUGAUGAUAUUGGACUGAACCUCUGAAAUGGUAUAUUUGUGUAUGAAUACAUGCACAUGAGUGUCCACGGAAAACAGGAGAGGACAUCAGAUACCCUGGAACUGGGAUUAUGCACAGCAUGGCCAUGUGAACAGUGCUCUUCCUCACUGAAUCAUCUCGAUGCCCACUGAUACAAGACACUAAUGAGGGGAACAGUGGGACAGCAUACAAGAACUCUGCUUUUUCUUCCCUCAAAACCUAAAACUGCUCUUUAAAAAAAGAAAAUAGCCGGGUGUGGUGGCGCACACCUUUAAUCCCAGCACUCGGGAGGCAGAGGCAGGCGGAUUUCUGAGUUAGAGGCCAGCCUGGUCUACAAAGUGAGUUCCAGAAAAAGUAAAUGAUGGGGCUGGAGAGAUGGCUCAGAGGUUAAGAGCACUGACUGCUCCUCCAGAGGACCUGAGUUCAAAUCCCAGCAACCACAUGGUUGCUCACAACCAUCUGUAAUAAGAUCUGACACCCUCUUCUGGUGUGUCUGAAGACAGCUACAGUGUACUUAUA